rnacentral:rRNA from 1 species
CAGCACCCUCAAGCAAAGAGAUCUUUAGUUUGAUACCCCGAAACCAGGUGAGCUACCCCGAGACAGCCUAUGUAAUUUAGGGCUAACCCGUCUCUGUGGCAAAAGAGUGGGAAGAGCUCCGGGUAGAAGUGACAGACCUACCGAACCUGGUGAUAGCUGGUUGCCUAGGAAAUGAAUAGAAGUUCAGCCUCGCACCCCCUUAAUCAAAAACGCAUUAUCAAGAUGCUAUGGAAAUUUGCGAGAGUUAGUUGAAGGGGGUACAGCCCCUUUAACAAAGGAUACAACCUUCACAGGAGGAUAAAGAUCAUAAUAGAUAAGAUACACUGUUCUAGUGG